UACGGAGGGGGCAAGCGUUAUUCGGAAUUAUUGGGCGUAAAGGGCGCGUAGGCGGCUAGAUGUGUCAAAGGUGAAAUCCCUCGGCUCAACUGAGGAACUGCAUUUGAAACUGUCUGGCUUGAGGCCGGGAGAGGGUAGCGGAAUUCCCAGUGUAGCGGUGAAAUGCGUAGAUAUUGGGAGGAACACCAGUGGCGAAGGCGGCUACCUGGACCGGUUCUGACGCUGAGGCGCGAAAGCGUGGGUAGCAAACAGG
rnacentral:rRNA from 1 species